GCGAAGAGGAGGUAGACGAGGAGCGUGAGGUGAGGAGGGUAAAUGAAGAGCGGCCAAGGCUGCCGUCGAGGACUCAAGGAGUGGUUAGAUGGGGGGAAAGAGUCGCAUGGGCAGGUUUGGUGCGCAUUGGUGAACCAAAACAGGUUCCAUCGUUUUUUUGUCUGGAUUUCGCUAAUUGGGGAAGGUGGUACACGCUGGCUGCGGUCAGUUAAACAGAAGAGAGGAAUAGUUGGGGUAGGUCACACAUGAUGUUGCCGUUGCCCGUUCUAGCUUCACGGAAGCGUCAUGGUGCCGCGCUUUUGGAGUGAGUGAUUCAUGGAUUGUUGGCCUUCCUCCGACUUCCCGUCCAAUCUAAUCCGCUAAUCGUAGGUCUCAGCCACAACUGCAUUAAAAACUGCAUGCGAAAAUGCUGGUACGAGGUACAAGGACACUUCGUUGGGCCGGGCCGUCGAAUCAGCUGGGUACAAAUGGUUGGGCUGGGCCGUGAAAUCAGAUUUGUUCAAGCAGUUUCGUUGAUUACAGAAGUGCUAGUCUGGAUCUGGUGCAGGUGGACUUUGCUGGACAACUGUGCGGUCCACUAUUGAGCUCGUCCAUUGACACCUUAGUUGGUCCGAUCAGCAAAUUGCACCAGUGUAAAAAAAAUUGAUGGGCGGAAGCAAUUUAGUCCCACACCGUUUGUUGUAUUCCAUCCCGAAAGUGCCUGGCAGGGCCACGUUCUGUUACAACAAAUAAGAAAAAACACGGAGGUUUACAAAGGAGAGAGACAAAAGAAGCAACAAUUUCCUUGCACUAGAGAACUAUCACCAUGAGACAAGUCUCUGACAAGCGACUAGCACCCGAGGAGUGCCUCCGGCGUUGUUGAAGGGCAUCUCACUACCGAGUCCACAGCCUAUUCGGAAAAUUCUGAGGAAAUUCCUAGCAAACUUGAGUCUAUGAAAUUUUACAAUAGCUCGAGUUUUCUCCUUGCUAUCUUUUUUUGGAAGA